rnacentral:rRNA from 1 species
AUGGCAGCUAUUCUCUGGGCUAUUUGGAAAUGCCGAAAUGACAUAAUCUUUAGAAAUAAACUGAUCAAUGAUCCCAUGAAACUAGUUAAACUAACUUGCAGUUGGAUUGUGGAUUGGGCUGUUUUGCAGAGAAAAAACCCAAGGCAAAAUCUACUGAUGUUGGGGGCAAGGCUCAUCGAGCAAGUAGCAAGUGAGGUCUACAAAGCGUCAUAAGGGUGGAGAGCUGGAGUCCGUCGAUUGAUGAACUGA